rnacentral:rRNA from 1 species
AGAGUUUGAUCCUGGCUCAGGAUAAACGCUGGCGGCGUGCCUAACACAUGCAAGUCGAACGGUUCCUUUCGGGGAAUAGUGGCGCACGGGUGAGUAACACGUGGUUGACCUACCUCAAAGUAAGGGAUAACGGUCCGAAAGGGCUGCUAAUACCUUAUAAGCUCCCGGAUUUUAGAAACCUGGGAGAAAAGUUCCGGCGCUUUGAGAGGGGACUGCGAGCCAUCAGCUAGUUGGUGCGGUAACGGCGCACCAAGGCGACGACGGCUAGGGGGCCUGAGAGGGUGACCCCCCACACUGGAACUGAGACACGGUCCAGACUCCUACGGGAGGCAGCAGUGAGGAAUAUUGCACAAUGGGCGCAAGCCUGAUGCAGCGACGCCGCGUGGGUGAUGAAGGCCUUCGGGCCGUAAAGCCCUUUUCUAGGUGACGAGAAUGGACGGUAGCCUAGGAAUAACUGUCGGCUAACUACGUGCCAGCAGCCGCGGUAAAACGUAGGACACAAGCGUUAUCCGGAGUUACUGGGCGUAAAGGGCGUGUAGGCGGAUUGAUAAGUCUACUCUGAAAGCUUCUGGCUAAACUGGAAGAGGCGAGUGGAGACUGUCAGUCUAGAGUGAGGAAGAGGAAAGUGGAAUUCCGCGUGUAGUGGUGAAAUGCGUAGAGAUGCGGAGGAACACCAGUGGCGAAAGCGGCUUUCUGGUCCUUAACUGACGCUGAGGCGCGAAAGCAUGGGGAGCGAACGGGAUUAGAAACCCCGGUAGUCCAUGCCGUAAACGAUGUUCACUAAACGUUCGUUUCCCGCGAGGGAAGCGGGUGUUGAAGCUAACGCAGUAAGUGAACCGCCUGGGGAGUACGGUCGCAAGGCUAAAACUCAAAGGAAUUGACGGGGGACCGCACAAGCAGCGGAGCGUGUGGUCUAAUUCGAGGCUACACGAAGAACCUUACCUAGGUUUGACGUCGUAGUGAAGUCUGCGUGAAAGCGUGGAUGUCCCGCAAGGGACACUAUGACAGGUGCUGCAUGGCUGUCGUCAGCUCGUGCCGUGAGGUGUUCGGUUAAGUCCGCAAACGAGCGCAACCCUCGGUGCCAGUUACAAGUGUCUGGCGCGACUGCCCGUGGCAAACGGGAGGAAGGUGGGGAUGACGUCAAGUCAGCAUGGCCUUUAUAUCUAGGGCUACACACACGCUACAAUGGCGCGUACAAUGGGUCGCGAACCUGCGAAGGGGAGCCAAUCCUAAAAAGCGCGUCUCAUUUCAGAUUGCAGGCUGCAACCCGCCUGCAUGAAGUUGGAGUUGCUAGUAACCGCGCGUCAGCAGAGUGCGGUGAAUACGUUCCCGGUCCUUGUACACACCGCCCGUCACGUCAUGAGAGCUGGUGACGCCUGAAGUCGGGAAGCUAACCGCAAGGGGGCUACUGCCGAGGGCAGCACUGGUGAUUGGGACGAAGUCGUAACAAGGUA